rnacentral:lncRNA from 1 species
GAAAGAAUUUCAAAGCUUCACCUGAUAAAUAAACUUCUUUAGAGUUUUAACUUAACACGAUCAACAUGGCAAAGACAACAAACAAAAAAGCCAAUACCACUCAGACAAAGGUGGAUGACGUCCAUUUCUUUAAUUACCUGAUAGAGGAAUUAGACAAUCUGAGCAAACAUUUAAUUAUGAAACAAUCUGAAAUACUUCAGAAAUCGGAGGCUAACGAAUGUGCGUUAAAGGAGAAGAUCAAAGAGCAAGAAAUCCAACUGUGUCGACAUAAAGAGAAGAUGCAGGAAAUGCAUCAAAACUAUGAAGAAAAAUUGCAGACUGCAGACAAAAUGAUAGAGGAGCUAAAAGCACAACUGAGGGUCGAAACAUCAAAAAACAACGUCUGUGUUUCACAAGAUCCCAAUCACCUCUGGACACCAGUUUACCCAGACCCCAAUACUGGUAUAAUCUACCACUACCAUUCCACACCAGAUGAACAGUUCUCCACAGAACAGGUAGACAACAAUUUUCCCCAACAACAGUGGAUGAUACCAUUAUACCCACAAACUAGUAGUGGUAUAGUUGACUACUCCCAGCCCCCUCAGCGGUUAAUACCAGCAUACCGAGACCCUACGGAUUUGGUCCACUUUGGUAAGCCGUUAGAAGCAGUUUACCCAGAACCUAAUACUGGUAUGGUCUACCACCAGCAGCCCAUACCUGAUGGGAUGUUUUACCCAGUAAAUCCAGACUUCCAUUAUCCUGCGUAUGAAUGCCCACAACCCUUUUUAGAGAACAUAGAGUCCGACCAUCAAUUCAACACUGAACACCAGGAUAUCGAAAAUAACGCUUCCCAAGACCAAAUGUCCUCAGAAGGUGUAGAGAGUGAUACCCAGUUACCUCACAACCUCUCAUCAGACUUAAUGGAGGAAACAGACCAACAACUCUUAUUAGAACUUGGUCAGAGCAAACACCAGGACCAAGGACUCUCUGAAAACCUGGGACAAAUUAUGGACCAGGCCAAGGGCUCUUCAAAGAACUGGGUCAGAGCAAAGACCAGCACCAAGGACUCUCUGAAAAACUGGGUAAAAUUCAGUAAGUUCAAAGAGGACAAGAAACAGCUGGACAAUCUCUCAUCAGAAUCAAAAGGGAAUGACGUCCAGGAAGAAACUCUUUAUGGCACUGAGAAAAAAGGAGGACGAUUUUAAUGCAGAUUUUCUUCCAUGGAGCAGUCAGGGACACAGUUCAUGGACCAGAACCAGGACCAGGACUACGUCCAUGGUCCAUAACCUCCAGCUCAUGAUGAAC